rnacentral:tRNA from 3 species
GUUUCUAUAGUUGAAUAACAACGAUGAUUUUUCAUGUCAUUGGUCAUAGUUAGAGUCUAUGUAGGAAUU